rnacentral:rRNA from 1 species
AUUGAACGCUGGCGGCAUGCCUUACACAUGCAAGUCGAACGGUAACAGGUCUUCGGAUGCUGACGAGUGGCGAACGGGUGAGUAACACAUCGGAACGUGCCUAGUAGUGGGGGAUAACUACUCGAAUGAGUGGCUAAUACCGCAUGAGAUCUACGGAUGAAAGCAGGGGAUCGCAAGACCUUGUGCUACUAGAGCGGCCGAUGGCAGAUUAGGUAGUUGGUGGGAUAAGAGCUUACCAAGCCGACGAUCUGUAGCUGGUCGGAGAGGACGAUCAGCCACACUGGGACUGAGACACGGCCCAGACUCCUACGGGAGGCAGCAGUGGGGAAUUUUGGACAAUGGGCGCAAGCCUGAUCCAGCAAUGCCGCGUGCAGGAUGAAGGCCUUCGGGUUGUAAACUGCUUUUGUACGGAACGAAAAGCCCUGGGUUAAUACCCUGGGGUCAUGACGGUACCGUAAGAAUAAGCACCGGCCAACUACGUGCCAGCAGCCGCGGUAAUAC